CAAUAGCGUAUAUUAAAGUUGUUGCAGUUAAAAAGCUCGUAGUUGGAUUUCUGGUGGGAGCGAUCGGUCUGGCGCUUAGCGCGAGUACUUGCAUCGUCUCCGGCCAUCCUUGGGGAGAGUCUGUCUGGCAUUAGGUUGUCGGGCAGAGGAUCCUCAUCGUUUACUGUGAAAAAAUUAGAGUGUUCAAAGCAGGCUUAUGCCGUUGAAUAUAUUAGUAUGGAAUAAUAAGAUAGGACUUUGGUACUAUUUUGUUGGUUUGCGCACCAAAGUAAUGAUUAAUAGGGACAGUUGGGGGUAUUCGUAUUCCGUUGUCAGAGGUGAAAUUCUUGGAUUUACGGAAGACGAACUACUGCGAAAGCAUUUACCAAGGAUGUUUUCAUUAA
rnacentral:rRNA from 1 species